AGUCGAACGGAAAGGCCUCUUCGGAGGUACUCGAGUGGCGAACGGGUGAGUAACACGUGGGCAAUCUGCCCUGCACUUCGGGAUAAGCCUGGGAAACUGGGUCUAAUACCGGAUAGGACCUCAAGACGCAUGUCUUCUGGUGGAAAGCUUUUGCGGUGUGGGAUGGGCCCGCG
rnacentral:rRNA from 1 species